rnacentral:rRNA from 1 species
GGUAAUACGGAGGGUGCAAGCGUUAAUCGGAAUUACUGGGCGUAAAGCGUGCGUAGGCGGUUGACUAAGUCAGAUGUGAAAGCCCCGGGCUUAACCUGGGAACUGCAUUUGAAACUGGUCAACUAGAGUAUGGUAGAGGAAAGUGGAAUUUCUGGUGUAGCGGUGAAAUGCGUAGAUAUCAGAAGGAACAUCGAUGGCGAAGGCAGCUUUCUGGACCAAUACUGACGCUGAGGUACGAAAGCGUGGGUAGCAAACAGGAUUAGAUACCCUGGUAGUCCACGCCGUAAACGAUGAUAACUAGCCGUUGGGAGGGUUUACCUCUUAGUGGCGAAGCUAACGCGUUAAGUUAUCCGCCUGGGGAGUACGGCCGCAAGGCUAAAACUCAAAGGAAUUGACGGGGACCCGCACAAGCGGUGGAGCAUGUGGUUUAAUUCGAUGCAACGCGAAGAACCUUACCUGGUCUUGACAUACAGAGAACUUUCUAGAGAUAGAUUGGUGCCUUCGGGAACUCUGAUACAGGUGCUGCAUGGCUGUCGUCAGCUCGUGUCGUGAGAUGUUGGGUUAAGUCCCGUAACGAGCGCAACCCUUAUCCUUAUUUGCCAGCACUUCGGGUGGGAACUAUAAGGAGACUGCCGGUGAUAAACCGGAGGAAGGCGGGGACGACGUCAAGUCAUCGUGGCCCUUACGACCAGGGCUACACACGUGCUACAAUGGGAAGGACAAAGGGUCGCUAAGCCGCGAGGUGGUGCUAAUCUCAUAAACCUUUUCGUAGUCCGGAUCGGAGUCUGCAACUCGACUCCGUGAAGUCGGAAUCGCUAGUAAUCGUGGAUCAGAACGCCACGGUGAAUACGUUCCCGGGUCUUGUACACACCGCCCGUCAUACCAUGGGAGUGGGUUGCACCAGAAGUGGGUAGUCUAACUUAGGAGGACGCUCACC